GCUGGGAUAGCCAAGCGGUUACGGCGCAGGUUUGGAGAGCCUGUUUCCGAAAGGAUGCAUGGGUUCGAAUCCCAUUCCCAGCG
rnacentral:tRNA from 1 species